UGGUGUAUGCCCUACAGAGGUGUGGUGAACUACAACCCCCAGGAGACUACAGAGGCAGCAUGCUGGUGUUAUACCACAGACUGAAGACUCCUGAAUGACACAUGCUGAGAGUUAUAGUCCCUUUUGUGUGUGUGUGUGUGUGUGUGUGUAUGCCAGUGUAUCCCAACCAGGGCUGAUUAUAUUAGUGUUCUGUGUAUAAGGGGGCUGAUCCGGGAAAAUAGUGGGAUGGUUAAAGGGCGGAGCAAACAAACAAAAAAAAGGAGCCGCCCCAAACCAGCAAGGCAUGUGGCAUGCUGGGAUUUGUAGUUUUCAGCACAGCAAGAAACAGGAAAUAGAAGCAAAUGUAGGAAAACAAAGUGGGGGAUAAAAAGACAACAAAGAACGGAGUAGCCUAAACAACAAGAAUAGAAAUGAAACAAAACAAAUAGGGUGGAUUCUUUAGCCUCCGAGCGCUACACUUCAUCAGCUCCUAUUCCGUGACCCGGCUACCCGUUACUGGACUCCUGGACCUGACUGUCUCUGCCCUGCGGUACUUACUAAAAUCCCCUUAUGCUGGAUAACCCCUUUCAACAAUCUAUGGGAUUGUCUGGGUCAGUGAUUGAUGAUCAACACGUUU